rnacentral:rRNA from 1 species
GUCCACGCCCUAAACUAUGUCAACUGGUUGUUGGGGGUUUGACACUCUCAGUAACGAAGCUAACGCGUGAAGUUGACCGCCUGGGGAGUACGGCCGCAAGGUUAAAACUCAAAGGAAUUGACGGGGACCCGCACAAGCGGUGGAUUAUGUGGAUUAAUUCGAUGCAACGCGAAAAACCUUACCUACCCUUGACAUGUCCUGAAGCCUGGAGAGAUCCGGGUGUGCCCGAAAGGGAACGGGAACACAGGUGCUGCAUGGCUGUCGU